rnacentral:tRNA from 3 species
GGCGACAUGGCCAAGUGGUAAGGC